rnacentral:tRNA from 1 species
AUGCGUAAUAUUAAGCAUUAUAUGUACUAGUACAUAUGCGUAAUAUUAAGCAUUAUAUGUCAGAAAAUAGUUA